rnacentral:rRNA from 1 species
AGAGUUUGAUCCUGGCUCAGGAUGAACGCUAGCUACAGGCUUAACACAUGCAAGUCGAGGGGCAUCAUGGAGUUUGCUUGCAAACUCUGAUGGCGACCGGCGCACGGGUGAGUAACGCGUAUCCAACCUUCCCAUGACUCCGGUUCAGCCCGCCGAAAGGCGGAUUACUCCCGGAUGGUUUCCGAAGAGGGCAUCUGAUUUGGAAUAAAGAUUGAUCGGUCAUGGAUGGGGAUGCGUCUGAUUAGGCAGCAGGCGGGGUAACGGCCCACCUGGCCUACGAUCAGUAGGGGUUCUGAGAGGAAGGUCCCCCACACUGGAACUGAGACACGGUCCAGACUCCUACGGGAGGCAGCAGUGAGGAAUAUUGGUCAAUGGGCGAGAGCCUGAACCAGCCAAGUAGCGUGCAGGAUGACGGCCCUAUGGGUUGUAAACUGCUUUUAUAUGAGGAUAAAGUUCGUUACGUGUAACGUUUUGCAGGUAUCAUAUGAAUAAGGACCGGCUAAUUCCGUGCCAGCAGCCGCGGUAAUACGGAAGGUCCGGGCGUUAUCCGGAUUUAUUGGGUUUAAAGGGAGCGCAGACGGUCAGUUAAGCGUGCAGUUAAAUGAUGUGGCUCAACCAUGUUAUGCUGCGCGAACUGGCUGACUUGAGUUCACGGAACGUGGGCGGAAUUUGUGGUGUAGCGGUGAAAUGCUUAGAUAUCACGAAGAACUCCGAUUGCGAAGGCAGCCCGCGGCAGUGUUACUGACGUUCAUGCUCGAAGGUGCGGGUAUCGAACAGGAUUAGAUACCCUGGUAGUCCGCACGGUAAACGAUGGAUGCUCGCUGUCGGCGAUACAUUGUCGGCCGCCUAGUGAAAGCAUUAAGCAUCCCACCUGGGAGUACGCCGGCAACGUGAAACUCCAAGGAAUUGACCGGGGCCCCCCCCAGCCGAAAGAACUUGUGGUUUUAUUUCCAUUAAUCCCCAAGAAACCUUACCCGGGGUUUGAAAUUGCAGGUUUUUGAAUCAAAAAAUGGUCCUU